UACGAAGGGGGCUAGCGUUGUUCGGAAUCACUGGGCGUAAAGCGCUCGUAGGCGGAUCUUUAAGUCAGAGGUGAAAUCCCGGAGCUCAACUUCGGAACUGCCUUUGAUACUGGGGAUCUCGAGUCCGGGAGAGGUGAGUGGAACUGCGAGUGUAGAGGUGAAAUUCGUAGAUAUUCGCAAGAACACCAGUGGCGAAGGCGGCUCACUGGCCCGGUACUGACGCUGAGGAGCGAAAGCGUGGGGAGCAAACAGGG
rnacentral:rRNA from 1 species